rfam:Trachipleistophora hominis chromosome Tnknown scaffold00245, whole genome shotgun sequence.
GGCAUCUUGGCCGAGCGGUCUAAGGCGUCUGACUCAAGAUCAGAUUUGGGGAACCAAGCGCGGGUUCGAAUCCCGCAGAUGCUA